rnacentral:rRNA from 1 species
AAGGAUCAUUACAGAGUUCAUGCCCUCACGGGUAGAUCUCCCACCCUUGAAUAUUAUACCUUAGUUGCUUUGGCAGGCCGGGGCAACCCCCGGGGCUUCGGCCUUGGUGUGCCUGCCAGAGGAAACAAACUCUGUUUUUAGUGAUGUCUGAGUACUAUAUAAUAGUUAAAACUUUCAACAACGGAUCUCUUGGUUCUGGCAUCGAUGAAGAACGCAGCGAAAUGCGAUAAGUAAUGUGAAUUGCAGAAUUCAGUGAAUCAUCGAAUCUUUGAACGCACAUUGCGCCCCGUGGUAUUCCGCGGGGCAUGCCUGUUCGAGCGUCAUUUCAACCCAUCAAGCUUCGGCUUGGUCUUGGGGCCUGCGAUUCCGCAGCCUCUAAACCCAGUGGCGGUGCCUCCGAGCUCCGAGCGUAGUAAUUCUUCUCGCUAUAGGGUCUCGGUGGUGUCUUGCCAGUAACCCCCAAUUUUUUACAGGUUGACCUCGGAUCAGGUAGGGAUACCCGCUGAACUUAAGCAUAUCAAUAAGCGGAGGAAAAGAAACCAACAGGGAUUACCUCAGUAACGGCGAGUGAAGCGGUAACAGCUCAAAUUUGAAAUCUGCCGCAAGGCCGAGUUGUAAUUUGUAGAAGAUGCUUUGGGUAUGGCCCCGGUCUAAGUUCGUUGGAACACGACGUCAUAGAGGGUGAGAAUACCGUAUGUGACUGGGUGCUUUUGCCUAUGUAAAAGCUCUUUCGACGAGUCGAGUUGUUUGGGAAUGCAGCUCAAAAUGGGUGGUAUAUUUCAUCUAAAAGCUAAAUAUUGGCCAGAGACCGAUAGCGCACAAGUAGAGUGAUCGAAAGAUGAAAAGCACUUUGGAAAGAGAGUUAAACAGUACGUGAAAUUGUUGAAAGGGAAGCGCUUGCAACCAGACUUGCACGCUGUUGAUCAUCCAGGCUUCUGUCUGGUGCACUCGGCAGCGUUCAGGCCAGCAUCGGUUCUGGUGGUGGGAUAAAGGCCUUGGGAAUGUAGCUUCUUUCGGGGAGUGUUAUAGCCCUCGGUGCAAUGCCGCCUAUCGGGACCGAGGACCGCGCUUCGGCUAGGAUGCUGGCGUAAUGGUUGUAAGCGACC